rnacentral:rRNA from 1 species
AAUACACUUUAUCACAUAUCGCGGGAAACCGCGAUAAGGGGACACUGAGUGCCAGCAUCUUAUGAGGGGUGUCCACAUGUGUAAAUAGCAUGUGUUAGCAAGGGCGGGGCAAGACCGGUGCCAGCCGCCGCGGUAACACCGGGGGCCCGAGUGGGGACCACUAUUAUUGGGUCUAAAGGGUCCGUAGCCGGUUUGAUCAGUCUUCCGGGAAAUCUGACAGCUCACUUGUUAGGCUUCCGGGGGAUACUGUCAGACUUGGGACCGGGGGAGGAAAAAGGUACUACAGGGGUAGGAGGGAAUUCUUGUAAUCCUUGUGGGAACCACCAGGGGGAAAGGGGUCUUACAAAAAAGGGGUCCGACGGGGAGGGACGAAAGUUGGGGGACCGAACCGAAUAAAAUACCCGGGAAGUCCCAGCCGUAAACGAGGUUCCCUAGGGUUUUGGAACGGGGCGACCGUUUCAGGGGCCGCAGGAAGCCCGGGAGGCGAGCACCCUGGGAAG